rnacentral:rRNA from 1 species
UACGAAGGGGGCUAGCGUUGUUCGGAAUUACUGGGCGUAAAGGGCGCGUAGGCGGGCUCGCCAGUCUGUGGUGAAAGCCCCCGGCUUAACCGGGGAAGUGCCGUGGAUACUGCGAGCCUCGAGGAGGGUAGGGGCAUCUGGAACAGCCGGUGGAGCGGUGAAAUGCGUUGAUAUCGGCUGGAACUCCGGUGGCGAAGGCGAGGUGCUGGACCCUUUCUGACGCUGAUGCGCGAAAGCCAGGGGAGCAAACGGG